AGGUGAAGUCAGAUGCCUUUUUCACUAUGUUAUAUAGUGACUUGAGCAACAACUGUAAACAAGGCCCUCCCUGUUAUGUUGCACCUAUGAGACUUACUGUCUGGAGACAUUUUUGAAGAUAUGUGCCUCUGUAACAAAGUUGAUUUUUCAAACGGAGGUUUCCCAAACAGCACAAAAUAAGACAGAGACAUUGAAUAAUCACUGCACGACUUAGUUUAAAAAAUAGAAUGAUGACAAAGCAAACCUGAUGUAUUCUGGUGUAAAUGUAGGAGAUAUAAAUAGAUAACAAGAGAAGCCCUGCGGUGUUUGAGACGACUGAAGAAAUACACAAUGGAAGGUCAAGAGAGUUCUUAGUUCUUGGAGUUUUGAUUCUGUAUGACACUAAAAUUAUACAAGUAUUGCACUGGG